rnacentral:lncRNA from 1 species
CCCUUCCAAACUUUACAAGCUUCUUAAAAAACAUACGACUUUUUGGUUGUAGAUGAUGCAAUGAAGUACCAUAUGAGUGGAUAUCUAUAUGAUUCUAAAUCUGUCAAAUCAUUCAUGGUAUGAUCUUCUACAUCACAGGUCUUCCUAUUUCGUCAUCUGGCUUAAGUUCUUCAUGUAGCAUUUAUAUUGAAUGAGAAAUUACGUAAAUACUUCCACAUAUUAUUGAAUGCAAGAGAUAUCUCUAUUUUUCCUCCUGAGAAUCUUUAGAAUUCCCACUGCUUAGCUUUCAAUUUGCCACUAACUAUCAAAUAAAAUGUUAAUAACUCGUCGUCCUCUCUUUGAAAGUUUGAAAGAAUGGAUGAUUUUGAUUCCGUUGAUGCUUGAAACAAAUUUGUCUUCUCCAUAUUACUAUAUUUCUAGAGUCAAUAAUUUUAUAUAGGUAACUAGUGAACUUGAUCACUCGCUGUUGUUACUCUUAAAUUUUUUUGUUGAGAUCUAUCCUAUAGAGGUUCUCAAAUUUGAUUAGUGAUAGAUUUCUAAGUUUCAUUGUAAACCUAAUUAGUUAUUUCUAGUUACGUAAAUCAAUGGUUCAAACCGCACACAAAAGUCAAAGAUAAGGCAUUUCCCAUUUUUAUGGAACUUCUGUCCUAGAGACAAUGGUAUCUCCAAUUCUGGUCCCAUUUGGCUCCUC